AACGAACGCUGGCGGCAGGCUUAACACAUGCAAGUCGAGCGCAUCCUUCGGGGUGAGCGGCGGACGGGUGAGUAACGCGUGGGAACGUGCCCUCUUCUACGGAAUAGCCUCGGGAAACUGAGAGUAAUGCCGUAUACGCCCGCAAGGGGAAAGAUUUAUCGGAGGAGGAUCGGCCCGCGUUGGAUUAGGUAGUUGGUGGGGUAACGGCCUACCAAGCCGUCGAUCCAUAGCUGGUUUGAGAGGAUGAUCAGCCACACUGGGACUGAGACACGGCCCAGACUCCUACGGGAGGCAGCAGUGGGGAAUCUUGGACAAUGGGGGCAACCCUGAUCCAGCCAUGCCGCGUGAUCGAUGAAGGCCUUAGGGUUGUAAAGAUCUUUCAGCUGGGAAGAUAAUGACGGUACCAGCAGAAGAAGCCCCGGCUAACUCCGUG
rnacentral:rRNA from 1 species